rnacentral:hammerhead_ribozyme from 1 species
CGAUAACUGAUGAGUCCCAAAUAGGACGAAAUGCGCAUUAUCCUGGUAG